ACAGGAGCAGGCUAUUGC
rnacentral:misc_RNA from 1 species